CAAAAACAUCGCCUCCCGCAAAAAUCAACGUAUAGGAGGUCCUGCCUGCCCGGUGACUUAUCAGUUUAACGGCCGCGGUAUUUUGACCGUGCUAAGGUAGCGCAAUCACUUGUUCUUUAAAUGAGGACCUGUAUGAAUGGUGGAACGAGGGCUUAACUGUCUCCCUUCUCCAGUCAAUGAAAUUGAUCUGCCCGUGCAGAAGCGGGCAUACAUAUACAAGACGAGAAGACCCUUUGGAGCUUAAGACAUAAGGCCAACCGUGUAAAACCCCAAAACAACAAUGGUGUAAAACAAAACAGCAACUGGCCAGCGUCUUCGGUUGGGGCGACCGUGGGGGAAAACAAAGCCCCCAUGUGGAAUGGGACAUUUCCUAAAACCAAGAGAGACAUCUCUAAGUCACAGAACAUCUGACUAAAAGAUCCGGCACACAGACCGAUCAACGAACUAAGUUACCCUAGGGAUAACAGCGCAAUCCUUUCCAAGAGUUCAUAUCGACGAAAGGGUUUACGACCUCGAUGUUGGAUCAGGACAUCCUAAUGGUGCAGCCGCUAUUAAGGGUUCGUUUGUUCAACGAUUAAAGUCCUACGUGAUCUGAG
rnacentral:rRNA from 1 species